ensembl:snRNA U1 U1 spliceosomal RNA
AUGUUUACCUGAUAAGGGAGAUACCAUGAUCACAAAGGUGGUUUUUCCAAGGCAAGUCUUAUCUACUAUAUAGCAAAUAUACUGACCCUGCUAUUUUACCAAAUGUGGGAUACUUGGCUGUAGAAUUUGUGGUAAUGGGGGACUGCCUUUAUGCUUUUCCUUA